CUCAGCUCAUUCUCAUCCUGUUUGAGGCUGGGGACAGGGUAAAAGGCUCCUCUCUUCUCUCUCUCUAGGUUUCCUCUCUCUCUAAAUAGAAAUCAAGGAUUUGGGCUUGAUUUCAUUUCCCUUUUGAGAGUUUUUGAAUUAGGAGGUGUAGAUCAGCUGUGGAUGUAUGGAAAGGAGAGAUCGGAGAAGGUUUCUUAGUUCUAAUUCAGUUGAAAGCUGAAUUACAGCUUUAGGAGCUGAUUUGGAGGAAGUUAAAGACAGCUAAAGAGGAGUUAUACCGUUAUAAUAUUUCUACUCAAACCCAGGGGAAAGCUGGAUUGAAACUUUGGGAAUCAGCUUGGAUAACCACUUUGAGCUGAAUAAUAUGCUUUGGUGAACUGGUUCUGAGUAUAUUUCAACCUAAGGAAAGUACAAUUCCAAGUUAAGAAUCUAUGCAAGUUAAAUUUCAGCCUAUACUACAUAGUUAAACAAGUGUAGUGAUGUUGUUUUUGGUAAUAGUUCGCAGCAGGGUUGCGACAAAUCGUCGGGUUGUUUUCGGUUGACAUUUGGGAGUUUUCGAAGGUUAAUUUGGAGUACUAACCUGAACCAAAACAAAGGCUUAAGAUAUAGCCUUGUACAAGGACCCAUGUGGGCUGAUUUGAGUUGAGUAUUGGAGACCUUUGCUUAAAGUGAAGAGUAGACUUAACUUCCCUUUAAAUCCAAGAAGCUUGAAUACUUGGAUCGCUUAUCAGUGUGAACUCGACAACAGUCGUUGACUAUUGGUGGGUUUGGCCUCCCCGAAAUGGAGCCUUCCACUGCGGGAAAGGCUAGGGUUCCUGGCGAGGGGUCAACGGCUAGCUAGAGCUUUCUCGAUGAUAAAUAGAUGAACCUCUACCAAUUAAUUGUGAUGUAGUUCAGUGUUGUAUACUGAGAGUAUGUAGAAUGUAUUUUGUUUUCUUUACAUUGUAAUAAGGUUUUGGGUUGUAUAAGUUUUAAACUUUUAGUUGUGCUCUGAUUACUUAGUUAAGUUA